GGUCUGGUAGUGUAGCGGUAACACAUCUUCCAUGGAUAUCAGCGUCGCGGGUUUCCAUUCCGAAGAAGUGCCCUGUUCGAUCCAGGGUCAGGCCG